CGGGAUUCCAAGCUAUCCCGAGGAUCUACUUCAAGCACUUCUCCGAGCUUCCCAUUCCGGAGAUUAUAAGCGAAGUGCUUCUGACGUUUGGAGUUUCAUUGUCGCAGCUCCCGGCGGGAUUCUUCGUAAUCCUGCGGGGUUUCAUGAAUAUCUGCUGGGGAUUGAACGUUGCUGCGACGGCGAGCUUGUUUCUGUAUUAUUACAAGCUCACUCGAGAAAAGUCUGCAUCCGGUCGCGUUGGAUUCACGCGACGUCAUUUUGAUAAGAACAUCGUCGACGAGCUCCCGACGAACUUUGGAUGCAACUGGAGGAG
rnacentral:lncRNA from 1 species